AUGUUCUCUGUAGCUCUGCUGCUGCUGGCUGCUGGAUCCUGUGUGAAGUGUGAACAGUUGACACAGCCAGCCUCAGUGACUGUGCAGCCAGAUCAAUGUCUUACCAUCACCUGUCAUGUCUCUUAUUCUCUUAGCAGUUAUUGCACAGCUUGGAUCAGACAGCCUGCAGGGAAAGAACUGGAGUGGAUUGGAGGUGCACAUGUUGGAUACACCCCAUACUACAAAGAUUCACUAAAGAACAAGUUCAGUAUCGACUUAGACUCUUCCACCAAAACAGUGACUCUAAACGGACAAAAUGUGCAGCCUGAAGACACUGCUGUGUAUUACUGUGCCAGAGACCCACAAUAACACAAACCAUCAGCAGACCUGAACAAAAACCCCUCAGUGCCUGAACACUUGUAAGAUGAAGCCACCAGAGGAGGAGCCCUCAGACCAC